ensembl:snRNA U6 U6 spliceosomal RNA
GUGCUAGUUUUGGCAGGGCACAUAAAAAAAAAUUGGAAUGACAGAGAUUAACAUGGCCCCUGCACAAAGGUGACAACCAAAUUCAGGAUGGUCCCAUAUUUAU